AAAAUAAAAAAUGAAAAUGCAAAAUAUAUAAAAUAAAAUUUGAGAAAAAGAAGAAAAAAAUAAAAAAUGAAGAGGCAAAAAUAUGAAAAAAAAAUAAAAAGAAAAAAAUUUAUAGAAAAUUUUAAAACAAAGAAAAAAGUGAACAAAAAAAAAUGAAAGCACAUAAAAAAAAAGUAAAAAAAAGAAGAAAAAUUUGAAAGGAGAAAAAGUUAAUGAAAAAUUAUAAAAAUGCAAUAGAAAAUAACCAAGAAUGAUAAAAGAAAAAAAGAUAGAAAAAUAAAAAAUUCCAAAACUUUAUAAAAAUUUAUGAAAUUAUAAAUAAAGAAAGAAAAUUAAAGCAAAAGAAAAAAGAUAAAUAAAGCACAAAAAAACAAAAAUACUACAAAAAAUAUAAAAAGUAAGAAAAUGAAAAAGGACAAAAAUUGAAUAAAAAUUUCAAAAAUGAAAUGGAAUGACAAAAUGAAAAAAAUUAGUUUAAAAAAUACAAAAAAUUGAAAAACAUAUAAGUUCUAACAAUAUAAAAAGUUUGAGAAUUUAAAAACACAAAUAAGAAAUGAAAGGAAAUUUAUGGAAAAAAAAAAAGAAUUGGAAUAAAAAUAGAAAAAUAAAAUUUUUAAAACGACGAAAAAUUAAAAUAAGAAAAAAAAUUAAAGCAAAAGAAAAAAGAUAAAUAAAGCAUGAAAAAAAAAACAAAAAUACAAAAAAAAAUUAUAAAAGGUAAGAAAAUGAAAGAGGACAAAAAAUGAAUAAAAAUUUCAAAAAUGAAAUGGAAUGACAAAAUGAAAAUAAAAUUAGUUUAAAAAAUAAAAAAAAAUUGAAAAACAUAUAAGACCUAACAAUAUAAAAAGUCAGACAAAAAUUAAAAAAGAGAAAAGUUAAUGCAAAAUAAAAAAAAAAGUAUGAGAAUUUAAAAGCGCAAAUAAGAAAUGAAAGGAAAUUUGAGGAAAAAAAGAGACAAAAGAUUUGGAAUAAAAAAUAGAAAAAUAGAAAUUUUUAAAACAACAAAAAAAAUUAAAACAAGUAAAAAUGAAAGCUUAUGAAAAAAAAAGCAAAAAGAAGGCAAAUUAUGAAGGGAAAAAGUUAUUAAAAAAUUACAAAGUAGAAAAAAAGAAAAUAAAAAUAAAUUAAGAGAAAAAAUUAAAUAAAAUACCAAAAAGGAAAAAAUAAAAAUAAACAAAGUAAGAAAAUAAAAAAUUAGCGAAUCAAAAAAUAUAAAAAGACAAAAUGAAUAAAAAUUUCAAAUAUAAAAUGAAAAAAACUAUUGGUUCAGAAUGUACAAAGAAAAAUAAAAAAAAUAUAACAAACAGAGGAAAAAGAUAUAAAAUAUGAAAGAUGAAAAAUAAAAUAAAAGAAAGUGCACAAAAAAAGAAGUUUGAGGUUUUAAAACUAUAAAGAAGAAAUAAAAAAAGGUGUGAACAAAAAGAUUUAAGAAAAAAAAAUGAAAAUACAAAAUAUAUAAAAUAAAAUUUGAGAAAAAGAAGAAAAAAAUAAAAAAUGAAGAGGCAAAAAUAUGAAAUAAAAGAAAAAGAAAAAAAUUUAUAGAAAAUUUUAAAACAAAGAAAAAAGUGAACAAAAAAGAAUGAUGGCAUAUAAAAAAAAAGUAAAAAAAAGAAGAAAAAUUUGGAAGGAGAAAAAGUUAAUGAAAAAAUAUAAAAAUGCAAUAGAAAAUAACCAAGAAUGAUAAAAGAAAAAAAGAUAAAAAAAUUAAAAAUUCCAAAACUUUAUAAAAAUUUAUGAAAUUAUGAAUAAAGAAAGAAAAUAAAAUAAGAAAAAAAAUUAAAGCAAAAGAAAAAAGAUAGAUAAAGCACGAAAAAAGAAAAAAAAACAAAAAAUUAUAAAAAGUAAGAAAAUGAAAAAGGACAAAAAUUGAAUAAAAAUUUCAAAAAUGAAAUGGAAUGACAAAAUGAAAAAAAAAAUUAGUUUAAAAAAUACAAAAAAUUAAAAAACAUAUAAGACCAAACAAUCUAAAAAGUCUGACAAAAAAUUAAAAAAGAGAAAAGUUAAUGCAAAAUAAAAAAAAAGUAUGAGAAUUUAAAAACGCAAAUAAGAAAUGAAAGGAAAUUUGUGGAAAAAAAGAAAAGACAAAAGAUUUGGAAUAAAAAAGAGAAAAAUAAAAAUUUUUAAAACAGCGAAAAAAUUAAAAAAAGUAAAAAUGAAAACAUAUGAAAAAAAAAAAGCAAAAAGAAGGAAAAUUGCAAAGGGAAAAAGUUAUUAAGAAAUUACAAAGUAGAAAAAAAUAAAUUAAGAGAAAAAAUUAAAUAAAAUACCAAAAAAGGAAAAAUAAAAAAUUAGCGAAUCAAAAAAAUAUAAAAAGACAAAAUGAAUAAUCAAAUAUAAAAUGGAAAAAACUUUUAGUUUAUAAUUUACAAAGAAAAAGAAAAAAAAAAUAACAAAUAGAGGAAAAAGAUAUAAAAUACGAAAGAUGAAAAAUAAAAUAAAAGAAAGUGCACAAAAAAAUAAGUUUGAGGUUUUAAAGUUAUAAAGAAGAAAAAAAAAAGGUGUGAACAAAAAGAUUUAAGAAAAAAAUAAAAAAUGAAAAUACAAAAUAUAUAAAAUAAAAUUUGAGAAAAAGAAGAAAAAAAAAAAUGAAGAGGCAAAAAUAUGAAAAAAAAAAAAGAAAAAAUUUAUAGAAAAUUUUAAAACAAAGAAAAAUGAACAAAAAAAAUGAAAGCACAUAAAAAAAGUAAAAAAAAGAAGAAAAUUUAAAGAAAAGUUAAUGAAAAAUUAUAAAAUGCAAUAGAAAUAACAAGAAUGAUAAAAGAAAAAGAUAGAAAAUAAAAAAUUCUAAAACUUUAUAAAAUUUAUGAAAUUAUAAAUAAAGAAAGAAAAUAAAAAUACUACAAAAAACAAAAAUACUACAAAAAAAUAAAAAGUAAGAAAAUGAAAAAGGACAAAAUUGAAUAAAAAUUUCAAAAAUGAAAUGGAAUGACAAAAUGAAAAAAAUUAGUUUAAAAAAUACAAAAAAUUGAAAAACAUAAAGUUCUAACAAUAUAAAAAGUUUGAGAAUUUAAAAACACAAAUAAGAAAUGAAAGGAAAUUUAUGGAAAAAAAAAAAGAAUUGGAAUAAAAUAGAAAAAUAAAAUUUUUAAAACGACGAAAAAUUAAAAUAAGAAAAAAAUUAAAGCAAAAGAAAAAGAUAAAUAAAGCAUGAAAAAAAAAAAAAAACAAAAAAAUUAUAAAAGGUAAGAAAAUGAAAGAGGACAAAAAUGAAUAAAAAUUUCAAAAAUGAAAUGGAAUGACAAAAUGAAAAUAAAAUUAGUUUAAAAAAUAAAAAAAAAUUGAAAAAAUAUAAGACCUAACAAUAUAAAAAGUCAGACAAAAAUUAAAAAAGAGAAAAGUUAAUGCAAAAUAAAAAAAAGUAUGAGAAUUUAAAAGCGCAAAUAAGAAAUGAAAGGAAAUUUGAGGAAAAAAAGAGACAAAAGAUUUGGAAUAAAAAAUAGAAAAAUAGAAAUUUUUAAAACAACAAAAAAAUUAAAAGUAAAAAUGAAAGCUUAUGAAAAAAAAAGCAAAAAGAAGGCAAAUUAUGAAGGGAAAAAGUUAUUAAAAAAUUACAAAGUAGAAAAAAAGAAAUAAAAAUAAAUUAAGAGAAAAAAUUAAAUAAAAUACCAAAAAGGAAAAAUAAAAAACAAAGUAAGAAAAUAAAAAUUAGCGAAUCAAAAAAUAUAAAAAGACAAAAUGAAUAAAAUUUCAAAUAUAAAAUGAAAAAAACUAUUGUUCAGAAUGUACAAAGAAAAAUAAAAAAAAUAAACAAACAGAGGAAAAAGAUAUAAAAUAUGAAAGAUGAAAAAUAAAAUAAAAGAAAGUGCACAAAAAAGAAGUUUGAGGUUUUAAAACUAUAAAGAAGAAAUAAAAAAGGUGUGAACAAAAAGAUUUAAGAAAAAAAAAAUGAAAAUACAAAAUAUAUAAAAUAAAAUUUGAGAAAAAGAAGAAAAAAAUAAAAAAUGAAGAGGCAAAAAUAUGAAAUAAAAGAAAAAGAAAAAAUUUAUAGAAAAUUUUAAAACAAAGAAAAAAGUGAACAAAAAAGAAUGAUGGCAUAUAAAAAAAAGUAAAAAAAAGAAGAAAAAUUUGAAAGGAGAAAAAGUUAAUGAAAAAAUAUAAAAAUGCAAUAGAAAAUAACCAAGAAUGAUAAAAGAAAAAAAGAUAAAAAAUUAAAAAUUCCAAAACUUUAUAAAAAUUUAUGAAAUUAUGAAUAAAGAAAGAAAAUAAAAUAAGAAAAAAAAUUAAAGCAAAAGAAAAAAGAUAGAUAAAGCACGAAAAAAGAAAAAUACAACAAAAAAUUAUAAAAAGUAAGAAAAUGAAAAAGGACAAAAAUUGAAUAAAAAUUUCAAAAAUGAAAUGGAAUGACAAAAUGAAAAAAAAAUUAGUUUAAAAAAUACAAAAAAUUAAAAAACAUAUAAGACCAAACAAUCUAAAAAGUCUGACAAAAAAUUAAAAAAGAGAAAAGUUAAUGCAAAAUAAAAAAAAAGUAUGAGAAUUUAAAAACGCAAAUAAGAAAUGAAAGGAAAUUUGUGGAAAAAAAAGAAAAGACAAAAGAUUUGGAAUAAAAAAGAGAAAAAUAAAAAUUUUUAAAACAGCGAAAAAAUUAAAAAAAGUAAAAAUGAAAACAUAUGAAAAAAAAAAGCAAAAAGAAGGAAAAUUGCAAAGGGAAAAAGUUAUUAAGAAAUUACAAAGUAGAAAAAAAUAAAUUAAGAGAAAAAAUUAAAUAAAAUACCAAAAAAGGAAAAAAUAAAAAAUUAGCGAAUCAAAAAAAUAUAAAAAGACAAAAUGAAUAAUCAAAUAUAAAAUGGAAAAAACUUUUAGUUUAUAAUUUACAAAGAAAAAGAAAAAAAAAUAACAAAUAGAGGAAAAAGAUAUAAAAUACGAAAGAUGAAAAAUAAAAUAAAAGAAAGUGCACAAAAAAAUAAGUUUGAGGUUUUAAAGUUAUAAAGAAGAAAAAAAAAAAGGUGUGAACAAAAAGAUUUAAGAAAAAAAUACAAAAUAUAUAAAAUAAAAUUUGAGAAAAAGAAGAAAAAAUAAAGAAUGAAGAGGCAAAAAUAUGAAAUAAAACAAAAAGAAAAAAAUUUAUAGAAAAUUUUAAAACAAAGAAAAACCUGAACGAAAAAGAAUGAAAGCACAUAAAAAAAGGUAAAAAAAAGAAGAAAAAUUAUAAAAAUGCAACAGAAAAUAACCAAGAAUGAUAAAAGAAAAAAGAUAGAAAAAUAAAAAUUCCAAAACUUUAUAAAAUUUAUGAAAUUAUGAAUAAAGAAAGAAAAUAAAAUAAGAAAAAAAAUUAAAGCAAAAGAAAAAAGAUAGAUAAAGCACGAAAAAAGAAAAAUACAACAAAAAAUUAUAAAAAGUAAGAAAAUGAAAAAGGACAAAAAUUGAAUAAAAAAUUCAAAAAUGAAAUGGAAUGACAAAAUGAAAAAAAAAUUAGUUUAAAAAAUACAAAAAAUUAAAAAACAUAUAAGACCAAACAAUCUAAAAAGUCUGACAAAAAAUUAAAAAAGAGAAAAGUUAAUGCAAAAUAAAAAAAAAAGUAUGAGAAUUUAAAAACGCAAAUAAGAAAUGAAAGGAAAUUUGUGGAAAAAAAAGAAAAGACAAAAGAUUUGGAAUAAAAAAGAGAAAAAUAAAAAUUUUUAAAACAACGAAAAAAUUAAAAAAAGUAAAAAUGAAAACAUAUGGAAAAAAAAAGCAAAAAGAAGGAAAAUUGCAAAGGGAAAAAGUUAGUAAAAAUUUACAAAGUAAAAAAAAAUAGGGAAUCAAAAAAAAAAAAUAAACAAAGUAAGAAAAUAAAAAAUUAGGGAAUCAAAAAAUAUAAAAAGACAAAAUGAAUAAAAAUUUCAAAUAUAAAAAGAAAGUGCACAAAAAAAGAAGUUUGAGGUUUUAAAAUUACAAAGAAGAAAUAAAAAAAGGUGUGAACAAAAAGAUUUAAGAAAAAAAUAACAAAUGAAAAUAUAAAAUAUAUAAAAAAAUAUUUGAGAAAAAAAUGAGAAAAAGAAGAAAAAAAUAAAAAAUGAAGAGGCAAAAAUAUGAAAUAAAACAAAAAUACAAAAAAAGGACAAAAAUUGAAUAAAAAUUUCAAAAAUGAAAUGGAAUGACAAAAUGAAAAAAAAUUAGUUUAAAAAAUACAAAAAAAUUGAAAAACAUAUAAGUCCUAACAAUAUAAAAAUUCAGACAAAAAAUUAAAAAAGAAAAAAGUUAAUGCAAAAUAAAAAAAAGUAUGAGAAUUUAAAAAUGCAAAUAAGAAAUGAAAGGAAAUUUGUGGAAAAAAAAAGAGAAGCAAGAAAAGACAAAAGAUUUGGAAUAAAAAAUAGAAAAAUAAAAAUUUUUAAAACAAGGAAAAAAUGAAAGCAUAUGAAAAAAAAGUAAAAAGAAGGAAAUUGUGAAGGGAAAAAGUUAUUAAAAAAUUACAAAGUUGAAAAAAAAUAAAUUAAGAGAAAAAAUAAAAUAAAAUACCCAGAAAGGAAAAAUAAAAAUAAACAAAGUAAGAAAAUAAAAAAUUAGCGAAGCAAAAAAAUAUAAAAUGGAAAAAACUUUUAGUUUAGAAUGUAGAAAGAAAAAGAAAAAAAAAUAUAACAAAUAGAGGAAAAAGAUAUAAAAUAUGAAAGAUGAAAAAUGAAAUAAAAGAAAGUGCACAAAAAAAGAAGUUUGAGGUUUUAAAAUUAUAAAAAAGAAAUAAAAAAAGAUGUGAACAAAAAGAUUUAAGAAAAAAUAAAAAAUGAAAAUACAAAAUAUAUAAAAUAAAAUUUGAGAAAAAAAUGAGAACAAGAAGAAAAAAAUAAAAAAUGAAGAGGCAAAAUAUGAAAAAAAAAUAAAAAGAAAAAAAUUUAUAGAAAAUUUUAAAACAAAGAAAAAAGUGAACAAAAAAAAUGAAAGCACAUAAAAAAAAAGUAAAAAAAAGAAGAAAAAUUUGAAAGGAGAAAAAGUUAAUGAAAAAUUAUAAAAAUGCAAUAGAAAAUAACCAAGAAUGAUAAAAGAAAAAAAGAUAGAAAAAUAAAAAAUUCUAAAACUUUAUAAAAAUUUAUGAAAUUAUAAAUAAAGAAAGAAAAUAAAAUACUACAAAAAAUUAAAGCAAAAGAAAAAAGAUAAAUAAAGCACAAAAAAACAAAAAUACUACAAAAAAUAUAAAAAGUAAGAAAAUGAAAAAGGACAAAAAUUGAAUAAAAAUUUCAAAAAUGAAAUGGAAUGACAAAAUGAAAAAAAUUAGUUUAAAAAAUACAAAAAAUUGAAAAACAUAUAAGUUCUAACAAUAUAAAAAGUUUGAGAAUUUAAAAACACAAAUAAGAAAUGAAAGGAAAUUUAUGGAAAAAAAAAAGAAUUGGAAUAAAAAAUAGAAAAAUAAAAUUUUUAAAACGACGAAAAAUUAAAAUAAGAAAAAAAAUUAAAGCAAAAGAAAAAAGAUAAAUAAAGCAUGAAAAAAAAAAACAAAAUACAAAAAAAAAUUAUAAAAGGUAAGAAAAUGAAAGAGGACAAAAAAUGAAUAAAAAUUUCAAAAAUGAAAUGGAAUGACAAAAUGAAAAUAAAAUUAGUUUAAAAAAUAAAAAAAAAAUUGAAAAACAUAUAAGACCUAACAAUAUAAAAAGUCAGACAAAAAAUUAAAAAAGAGAAAAGUUAAUGCAAAAUAAAAAAAAAAGUAUGAGAAUUUAAAAGCGCAAAUAAGAAAUGAAAGGAAAUUUGAGGAAAAAAAGAGACAAAAGAUUUGGAAUAAAAAAUAGAAAAAUAGAAAUUUUUAAAACAACAAAAAAAAUUAAAACAAGUAAAAAUGAAAGCUUAUGAAAAAAAAAGCAAAAAGAAGGCAAAUUAUGAAGGGAAAGAGUUAUUAAAAAAUUACAAAGUAGAAAAAAAAGAAAAUAAAAA
rnacentral:lncRNA from 1 species